CCUACGGGUGGCAGCAGUGGGGAAUAUUGGACAAUGGGCGAAAGCCUGAUCCAGCCAUGCCGCGUGUGUGAAGAAGGCCUUCGGGUUGUAAAGCACUUUCAGUGGGGAAGAAAGCCUUGGGGCUAAUACCCUCGAGGAAGGACAUCACCCACAGAAGAAGCACCGGCUAACUCCGUGCCAGCAGCCGCGGUAAUACGGAGGGUGCGAGCGUUAAUCGGAAUUACUGGGCGUAAAGCGCGCGUAGGCGGUCUGAUAAGCCGGUUGUGAAAGCCCCGGGCUCAACCUGGGAACGGCAUCCGGAACUGUUAGGCUAGAGUGCAGGAGAGGAAGGUAGAAUUCCCGGUGUAGCGGUGAAAUGCGUAGAGAUCGGGAGGAAUACCAGUGGCGAAGGCGGCCUUCUGGACUGACACUGACGCUGAGGUGCGAAAGCGUGGGUAGCAAACAGGAUUAGAUACCCUAUAGUC
rnacentral:rRNA from 1 species